rnacentral:rRNA from 2 species
UGGUUCUCCCCGAAAGCUAUUUAGGUAGCGCCUCGUGAAUUCAUCUCCGGGGGUAGAGCACUGUUUCGGCUAGGGGGCCAUCCCGGCUUACCAACCCGAUGCAAACUGCGAAUACCGGAGAAUGUUAUCACGGGAGACACACGGCGGGUGCUAACGUCCGUCGUGAAGAGGGAAACAACCCAGACCGCCAGCUAAGGUCCCAAAGUCAUGGUUAAGUGGGAAACGAUGUGGGAAGGCCCAGACAGCCAGGAUGUUGGCUUAGAAGCAGCCAUCAUUUAAAGAAAGCGUAAUAGCUCACUGGUCGAGUCGGCCUGCGCGGAAGAUGUAACGGGGCUAAACCAUGCACCGAAGCUGCGGCAGCGAACGUAUCACC